ACAACAUCACAGAGCAUUCCUCUGUCCUGCUGGCAAGGACAGCAGCAUGACGCACAGUUAUAACAUAACCCAGUCUGUGCGUAGUAAAACCCAGGCAACCACCAUAAAAUGCAAAGCACACUGGAUUUCUUCUGUCACAAACUUCCAGCAAAAAAUGUAAAACAUCUCAAGAUGUGGGCAUGAGAAGUCGGCAAGCAUGCAGUUGCUGAUCUUUAGAUACUGUUGUAAGAUGCUUUCUUUUCAAACAUUUUCGUUUCUCAAACAUGUUCUUUCAUCUUUCGCUGUCACUUGCAACCACUAAUCGGCUCCUUCUGGCAUCAAGCAAUCCUGUGGUGUGCAAAGCUCCAUUAGUCUUUUAUUCCUUAUUUUACAUCAGUAAGUCGGAUAGAGAAGAUUUAAAUGCAAUCAAGGACCAUUUAUUGCAAUACAAGAGGGUCAGUUCUUGAGGAAGUUUCAUGGACCCAAUUAUGGAGAAGUAUUCUGAGAGAGCAUUACAAUGACAUUUAACACUCUUCUUCACUGGCAAAAAGAAAAAGCAAUGACAGACUCUAUUGCCAAAUUAUAGACUGCUUCUGAUAAUACUCAGAAGCAUUAUAUCCUUUUUAUAGCAAUGAGGGCAUAAUCUUUCAUUUUGCAUCAUUUCAUUUAGUCAUUUGCAUCAGUACCAGUAUUACCUGUGUCUAUAAGGGACCUCUUGUUGACUCUGAAUUCAAUAUUUCCCUUUUACAUUGAUUGGUCUUUUCUUCUAGAACAAUGCUAUUUUAAUCUUAUGGUUUUCCAUUAUUCUAGUAUAUGUAUUUGGUUUAGAAGUCCCAUUUUGUUUCUCAGUAUGUACAUGAUGUAUUUUCAUUGAAUCCUUGACAGUAAAAUAGAGAUUGGGUUGGUGUAAGACCCUGCAAAACACCCAUUUUAAGAAGUGCAUUUUCUGUGCUACUCAGCCUGUGACCAUAAUGGUAUUUAUAUCUAGAUACUU
rnacentral:lncRNA from 1 species